UACGUAGGGGGCUAGCGUUGUCCGGAAUCAUUGGGCGUAAAGAGCGUGUAGGCGGUCCGGUAAGUCCGCUGUGAAAGUCGGGGGCUCAACCCUCGAAUGCCGGUGGAUACUGUCGGGCUAGAGUGCGGAAGAGGAGAGUGGAAUUCCUGGUGUAGCGGUGAAAUGCGCAGAUAUCAGGAAGAACACCCGUGGCUAAGGCGGCUCUCUAGUACGGUACUGACGCUGAGACGCGAAAGCGUGGGGAGCGAACAGG
rnacentral:rRNA from 1 species